GCGUGAGUGACGAAGGCCCUAGGGUCGUAAAGCUCUUUCAGCUGGGAAGAUAAUGACGGUACCAGCAGAAGAAACCCCGGCUAACUCCGUGCCAGCAGCCGCGGUAAUACGGAGGGGGUUAGCGUUGUUCGGAAUUACUGGGCGUAAAGCGCACGUAGGCGGAUAUUUAAGUCGGGGGUGAAAUCCCGGGGCUCAACCCCGGAACUGCCUUCGAUACUGGAUGUCUGGAGGUCGAGAGAGGUGAGUGGAAUUCCGAGUGUAGAGGUGAAAUUCGC
rnacentral:rRNA from 1 species